rnacentral:lncRNA from 1 species
GUGUGACACAAACAAGAGAUCAGAGAUACCACCAGAAGGUGCUUAUCAUAUAAAAUAAAUGUUGUGUCUCUGCGCCUGACGCUUCCACUACCGUCCAGUCAGAGUAUUGGCAUAACCUAUUCUAAUAUACACGUUUACCUUUUGUUUCAGCAGCUCCCUGGCUCCUGCACAUGCAAACAUUUGAAUUUCCUGUUGGCUCAGAGUGUUUGCAUUGCAAGUGACAUCUGGCUGACAGGAACUUGGAGAAAUGGGAUAAAGUGAAUGCUGCAGUUACCACAGCAUCAUAUUUAUCAAAAGGCUUAAGGUUGGUCUGUCUUUGUUUAACAUCCAAAACUCACUAUAAUGAAUAGGAAACAGCACUUUUUAAACUGAGCUGCUUAGAAAAUGAAGAUGGAUGAAGGAAAAAUGUUAAUCAUAUUCUUUAUUCUAAUCAUUGGAUUAAUUGAUGUAUAAAAUCAUGUAUUAGAUGAAAGACAGUUCUCAACUUGUAUUUACGUUUGCUAUUAUUCCUUUAAGUUUUUGUUAAUGUUAUAUAAGUCAUACAUACUAUCACAGAGAUAAGUCUGAAAUAAGCUACUAUAGUAGACUGACACAGUUUUCUUUUUAAAC